UACGUAGGGUGCGAGCGUUAAUCGGAAUUACUGGGCGUAAAGCGUGCGCAGGCGGUUCGUUGUGUCGGCGGGGAAAGCCCCGGGCUCAACCUGGAAUGGCCGUUGAAACUGGCGAACUGGAGUGUGGCAGAGGGGGGUGGAAUUCCGCGUGUAGCAGUGAAAUGCGUAGAGAUGCGGAGGAACACCGAUGGCGAAGGCAGCCCCCUGGGCUGACACUGACGCUCAGGCACGAAAGCGUGGGGAGCAAACAGG
rnacentral:rRNA from 1 species